CCCAUACCCAUGUGUGUAGGACCCCAAAUGAUCACCAUUAAAUUUGGCACAUAUCGUUAGAAAAGUUAUCACAUGGGUAUGAGACUUGACUUUUCUUGAGAUCUGUGUCAAAUUUAAUGGUGAUCAUUUAGGGUCCUACACACAUGGGUGUGGG
rnacentral:pre_miRNA from 1 species